UAGGGAAUCUUCGGCAAUGGACGAAAGUCUGACCGAGCAACGCCGCGUGAGUGAAGAAGGUUUUCGGAUCGUAAAACUCUGUUGUUAGAGAAGAACAAGGACGUUAGUAACUGAACGUCCCCUGACGGUAUCUAACCAGAAAGCCACGGCUAACUACGUGCCAGCAGCCGCGGUAAUACGUAGGUGGCAAGCGUUGUCCGGAUUUAUUGGGCGUAAAGCGAGCGCAGGCGGUUUCUUAAGUCUGAUGUGAAAGCCCCCGGCUCAACCGGGGAGGGUCAUUGGAAACUGGGAGACUUGAGUGUAGAAGAGGAGAGUGGAAUUCCAUGUGUAGCGGUGAAAUGCGUAGAUAUAUGGAGGAACACCAGUGGCGAAGGUGGCUCUCUGGUCUGUAACUGACGCUGAGGCUCGAAAGCGUGGGGAGCAAACAGG
rnacentral:rRNA from 1 species